AUAGUCAAUUGAUUGAUGAUGAAAAUAUCGAAGUCAUCAUGGGAGAUGAUUCUGAUUCCUUCAAUUGUCGGAAAUUGAAGUUAAAGAAACUUUUGAAACUUCUUAUGUACAACCAAAUCAAAUUUCUGCCAAUGUUCCGAGUAUAACUGGCAUUGACAUUUCUGGAUCUAAAUCUCAAAAUCCUUUAGAGACUUCUUUUUCCAGCCACCAAAACGAAAAAGUUCUCAAAAGCCUAAACUAAGCAAACAUAGAUUUGUGGACACAAAUUCAGCAACAAUACAACUUGGAGAUCUUGCUGAAAAAAAAAUUGAAAU